rnacentral:SRP_RNA from 2 species
GGAGAUCGGCCUUGGACGGGCGUCUUGCGAAUCCGGUCAGGUCCGGAAGGAAGCAGCCGCAGUGAGUUUUGCCCGGGUCAUGUGUUCGGUCUCCCAC